AAAAAAAUUGUAUCGGUUAUCUGGUUCAGGGGAAAUUUUAACAUCUCUAGAAUGAUUUUUGUUCAAUUGUCUGAAACUUGAAGAUUCGAUAAGUAAAAGAAUAUAAAAAACCAGUUGAGUUAUUUUGCGAGAUAUAGCCAAUUGAACAUUUAUUUAUAGUUUAAUUUCAAUCACCGAGUGUGUUUUAUGUGAUUCACAAUAUGUAUCCUUUUAUGUUAUACUGUUCUAAUAAGAAUCUCGCAGAUUUCUCAUGCUUGUGAAAAUAUUUAGAACGUUCACAAUGAAGUAAACAAGUCGAAAAAAAUACACCGGAUGCAGAGCUCUUGAGGAAAUUUGAACACAAAACAAAAUUCUGACAAGAGAUUAGUCAAAUAAUAUGGCAAAUCGGUCAAGUCAUCGCUGACAUAUAGCCCAUUGAAAAUAUAGUUACAGCCGAAUUUCGAUCACAAUGCCGGUAGUGCUAGGGAUGUUCAAUUUACUAUGUAUUUCACAAUAUGUAUCAAGUGAUCUUAUGCUAUUCUCAUUAGAAUCACGAAAAUUUAUGAUGUUUACCGAAAUAUUUAGAACUUUUACAAUGAUAUAAAUAUUUUGAAACAAGUUGAGCUGUUCAAAAGGCAAUUUGAACACCCCUAGAAGGGUUAUUUCCAAACUUCUGUAAUUUGAAGAUUCGUACAAGAGAUUGGUAAAAUAAUUUUGAAAAUCGGUUGAGCAAUCGCUGAGAUAUAUGCGAUUGAAAAUUUAAUUACAGUAAAGCUUCGGUCAUAAUUCAAGGAGCACUAGGGAUGUUCAACAUCUUUUAAUUGAGGUUUACUGCAUGUAUCCAGAUAGAUCUUAUACUAUUCCCGUUUGAAUAAUGUAGGUUUAUGAUGUUCAAGGAAAUAUUUUGAACAUCCUUAAUGAAGAAAAAAUGGCUGAAAAAUAUCGUAUCUUCUGCACUGAUAUGGAAAAAAUUGGACCACCCCUAGAAUAUUUUUUAUUCAAUUAUCUGAAACUAGAAGAUUAGGACAACAUGUAAGGAAAAAAAUUUUGAAAAUCGGUUAAGCCAUCGCUGAGAUAUAGCUGAUUUAAAAUUUAGUUUCAACAAAUUUUCGAUCAUCGUGCUGGGAGCACUAGGAAUGUUCAAAAUAUUUUAUCUUAUACUGUACCCCACACAUCCAUUAUGCGUACAGUAAUUUUCAGACCCCUUCCUAUUAGGUAAAUAAUUUGAAAAAAAAUUAUAUCGGUUGCACUGUUCUAGAGGAAAUUUGAACACCCCUAGAAAAAUUUCUGUUCAAUUAUCUGAAACUUUAGUAUUCGGAGAAGAGAUUGGUAAAAGAAUUUUGAAAAUCGGUUGAGCCGUUGCUGAGAUAUAGUCAAUUGAAAAUUUAAUUGCAACUAGCCACUGUGCCGGGAGCACUAGGGAUGUUCAAAAUAUUUUAUCUUAUACUAUACCACACACAUCUAUUAUGCGUACAGUAAUUUUCAGACCCCUUCCUAUUAGGUAAACAUUUAAAAA